AUGAAAAAAGAGGAAGGAGGUGAUGGAUUCAGAAGCUACAACACAAGAGAGAACAAGAAGGAAUGGGGGCAAGGAGCGGGCAACAACAAUACCCAGAUGCGACAAGAUCUAGAACAAGAACAGAAGCGUCAAAGAGGAUCUGAGGGGAUGGUGAUGCCAGGCAAAGAAAAGGAAGUUCAAGAGGCUGCUAAAUCAGGUAUGGCUAGUGUGGGAGAUAAGGAUAGCAGCAACUCAGUGGGUGGUAGUGAGAUCUUGCAUCAACCACAAUUGUUUUCUACUCUUCUGACCCAAUUAACUCAAGGGAACCCCCUGUUGGGGUGGGAAUGUUAA
rnacentral:rRNA from 1 species